rnacentral:rRNA from 1 species
UGGGGAAUUUUGGACAAUGGGGGAAACCCUGAUCCAGCCAUCCCGCGUGUGCGAUGAAGGCCUUCGGGUUGUAAAGCACUUUUGGCAGGAAAGAGACGUCGCGGGUUAAUACCCCGCGAAACUGACGGUACCUGCAGAAUAAGCACCGGCUAACUACGUGCCAGCAGCCGCGGUAAUACGUAGGGUGCAAGCGUUAAUCGGAAUUACUGGGCGUAAAGCGUGCGCAGGCGGUUCGGAAAGAAAGAUGUGAAAUCCCAGAGCUUAACUUUGGGAACUGCAUUUUUUAACUACCGGGCUAGAGUGUGUCAGAGGGAGGUGGAAUUUCCGCGUGUAGCAGUGAAAUGCGUAGAUAUGCGGAGGAACACCGGAUGGCGAAGGCAGCCUCCUGGGAUAACACUGACGCUCAUGCACGAAAGCGUGGGGGAGCAAAACAGGAUUAGAUACCCCUGGUAGUCCACGCCCUAAACGAUGUCAACUAGCUGUUGGGGGCCUUUCGGCCUUGGUAGCGCAGCUAACGCGUGAAGUUGACCGCCUGGGGAGUACGGUCGCAAGAUUAAAACUUAAAUAAA